CCCGCGUGAAAGUGAAGUUGGUGAAGUUCAUUUCAACGUUCGAAGACUUCACUGGUCAAGAAACAGAACUCAAGGCCGGUGCAACCUCAAAGCGGAGCUCUCAACUUUCAUCAGAUCGAAAGGUUCCUAGCAUCUCAAGUGGUCCCGUGCGUCCCUCUUGAUCUUGCGAGACUCCCUACGAACCUGACCUUGGGCAGCGAUUGGAAUGGAACCAAUUCAGUCCUCAAGUCGUGAACUGAACCGAAAGCCGUCAACCCGAACCCAAAGCACCAAGGAGC
rnacentral:misc_RNA from 1 species